rnacentral:rRNA from 1 species
AUUGAACGCUGGUGGAAUGCUUUACACAUGCAAGUCGAACGGCAGCACGGGGGCAACCCUGGUGGCGAGUGGCGAACGGGUGAGUAAUACAUCGGAACGUGCCCAGUCGUGGGGGAUAACGUAGCGAAAGUUACGCUAAUACCGCAUACGAUCUACGGAUGAAAGCGGGGGACCGUAAGGCCUCGCGCGAUUGGAGCGGCCGAUGUCAGAUUAGGUAGUUGGUGAGGUUAAGGCUCACCAAGCCGACGAUCUGUAGCUGGUCUGAGAGGACGACCAGCCACACUGGGACUGAGACACGGCCCAGACUCCUACGGGAGGCAGCAGUGGGGAAUUUUGGACAAUGGGCGCAAGCCUGAUCCAGCCAUUCCGCGUGCAGGACGAAGGCCUUCGGGUUGUAAACUGCUUUUGUACGGAACGAAAAGGCUCUGGUUAAUACCUGGGGCUCAUGACGGUACCGUAAGAAUAAGCACCGGCUAACUACGUGCCAGCCGCUGCCGUAA